CCUAAAUUUCUCCAGUAAUUAAUAAAAAUGGUUCCAAGAAUUUUAGCCCAGACCAGGAAAUAUUUAGUAUUUAAGAUGGCCAAAACCUAGUCUCCUGGAAUUUUAGAAAUUAGUUAAUAACUCCAAAAAUCACUAAACUUUUUGGAUAAGCCUAAUAUGAUAUUUAGAUUCCAUGCGUGAAGUUUGACUUGAUUUGGACAU
rnacentral:lncRNA from 7 species